UCCGUAGGUGAACCUGCGGAAGGAUCAUUACCAAAACACCUACGUUCCGUGAUCAACUCACGGACGUACAUUAUUUCUCAACCUGUGCACCGUUUACACCUGUGAACGCUACCCCCCACGUGCUCCUGGCCGCGUUUUGCGAUGGUUGCCUCAGGAACUCCGGUUCCUGUGGCCGUGGCCGAUUGUAGGAGGGCGUGUCUAAACAACCCCAAACACCAUCGUAACUUUUUUCAACCUUGUCAAACCGAUAGUUAUACAUAUCAUUCAAGGCUCUUCCCAAGAUUCUUUUAUGGAUCAAGGAAGUAGUCUGGUGCACGUUUCUUACGAGGAACGCGCGCCCGCAAUGAGAAUACAACUUUCAGCAACGGAUGUCUUGGCUCCCACAACGAUGAAGAACGCAGCGAAAUGCGAUACGUAAUGCGAAUUGCAGAAUUCCGCGAGUCAUCAAACCUUUGAACGCACCUUGCGCUUUCGGGAUAUGCCCGUUAGCAUGUUUGUUGGAGUGUCUGUUAACCCCAAUCACCACCUUGUUGUGAUCGAUUUACGAUUCGCAACAGGAUGUCGGUGGAUGUUAUUUGCUCCGUUGUGUUCACCCGCUGCGAUUUCUGUUGUCAACGUCCCCCGGGACCUGGCCAGAAGAUGGAGUGCGGGCGUGGAGUGAAGUACGGCCUGCCACAUAACAGUCACUGGGAUAUCGUCGCUCCUAGAGUCGCCCCCGUGAACGUGACGAGUCUUUUCCUAAAGGCCUCCCGUUUGCGGCGUAAAGUGGUGCUCGUUCUAACGGACGCGUUUCCAUUCCAAACAGUCUCUGAGUUGGCGGCGUGUUCCUGUGGAUCCACUUGGGAUUUCUCAGGAAAAUGCUGGUGGAGGAGAAAAGAUUCGUCUUUCUCCGCUCCCUUUCCAAUUCGGACCUCCAAUCAAGCAAGGCUACCCGCUGGAUUUAAGCAUAUAACUAAGCGGAGGAAAAGAAACUAACCAGGAUUCCCCUAGUAACAGCGAGUGAAGCGGGAAGAGCUCAACUUGAGAAUCUGGGUCGUUGUACGGCUCCGAAUUGUAGUCUAAAGAAACGCAGCCAUCGGCCGACGCGAGACAAGUCCCUUGGAAAAGGGCGCCCCAGAGGGUGACAGUCCCGUACAUGCUUGCGUGGGUCCGUCUACGGCGUGUUUUCGACGAGUCGAGUUGCUUGGGAUUGCAGCUCAAAGUGGGUGGUAAACUCCAUCUAAGGCUAAAUAUCGGUGGGAGACCGAUAGCGAACAAGUACCGUGAGGGAAAGAUGAAAAGAACUUUGAAAAGAGAGUUAAACAGUACGUGAAAUUGCUAAAAGGGAAACGCUUGAAGU
rnacentral:rRNA from 1 species